ensembl:lncRNA
AUGCCCCCUCAGACAUCAAGCCCCAACCAGGGGCAGCCCUGUGUCUCCAGGCGCGGACUGUGCCCCAAAGUCCUUGCCUGCACCCUGGGCCGUGGUUCCAGAGCCCCCAGGCUCCGCACAGCCCCACCCUCCACACAGCUUCUGCUUUGCUCCACUAGCCCCCCCGCCCCCUGCCCAGGGCCAGGAGGAAGGUGGGAGUCUCAUGUGCAGGCGGAGUACGGGAGGGUGAGAGGGAAGUCAGAGGAACUCAGGCUGGGGCCUGAGGGCAACUGGCGCUGGUGCCCAGGAUGGCCUGGGGCUGAGCACUGGUCAGCAGAUCCCCACCUGCCUCACCUGUCUCACCCACUGCUGCCCAGGAAACGGACACAGGCUUUCGUGGGCCUGGGUGUGGGCACAGGGGCAGCUGCUGCCCGGAGGUCACCUGCAGCCCUUCCCGAGUCCUGCAGGGUUGGGUCUGUUCUGGAAAAAUCACCUGGCUCCUGCCAGCUGCCUCUGGACAGCACCCUGGCGUGGCCCCUCCAUGCCGCUGGGCUGCACACGCCUCUCUCCUGGCUCCCCUCUCCCCCAGCUCCUGGAGGGGCAGUCGGGCACCAUUUGUGCCAGCUGGGGAUCAAGGACCACUGCCCAGCUAUUGACCUCACUUCUCUGCCCUCUUUCUCCACACGCCUUCUCCGAGACCCUCUUAGGACACAAACCCAGCCCUCCAAGCCCACGCCGGCCUGUCCCCAGCCUGGCCCGGAACCCCACAACAAGGCUCCAAAGCUUCAAAGGAGCCCCACUGCUGCUCAGGCCUCUAACCUCCUUCCCCAGCUCCCCCCUCAUCCACAGCUCCCCCCACAAGCCCCAUCAUCCUCCCUUCCCUCCCACCCUCCCUCCGACGCCUCCCCUCCACUUCCCAGGCACUGACCUCAGGGAGCUGAGCUCUGCUGUCUUUGUAUCUCAAAUCUCCUCAGCCUGAUUGGACAACCCGCCCCCCACAAAAAAAAAACAGCCUGACUUACCCCCAUCACAGGUGAGUUGCCACCUCCUCCAGGAAGCCCCUCCCCAGCAGGGAUUAGAGGCCCUCCUGGGGCCCCCGCUGCCCAACCCCUACUAGGACGCUGAGCGCUUGGAGUUGUCACUGCCUGACGUCCCGUUGUCCCCCAGCCCCACUGUCACAGCUCAGCGACCGAGGGGCCAGGGCCGAGGGGCUGCAGCCGCUGCAGCUCCGAGAGGCGGCCCCCUCACCCAUUUCCAGGGUCACGCGCUCCUCAUGAGUGUUGGAUGCCCUCCUCCCUCGGGUCUCAUCUGGGCACUUUGCCUUCUCAGCCCCUUUCCCCAGAAGGGAAAAUAUUAAAAUACAAGUGCACACACUGGGUCCGCGCCUCUGUUCUACCCCGGCUCAGGGACGCUGGACAAGUCGUGGUUCCUUCCAGAGCCUUUCCGCAUCAAAAAACAGAAAUAUCUCCCUCCUGGGAUGCGUUUAAGCUUCAAGUGGGGAAAAAAAGUUGUGAACACCACGCCCAGCCCCUGCCUAGCAGACAGCAGGCACUGCACAUGGGACUGCGCCUUCCUGUUUCCCAGAUGUACAGGGGCAGCCCUUGAAGGGACGGUCCAGUGAUUUAGAUUCCAUGUUUUCAAUGCAGGGGACGCAGGUUUGAUCCCAGGUCGGNNNNNNNNNNNNNNNNNNNNNNNNNNNNNNNNNNNNNNNNNNNNNNNNNNNNNNNNNNNNNNNNNNNNNNNNNNNNNNNNNNNNNNNNNNNNNNNNNNNGCAGGGGACGCAGGUUUGAUCCCAGGUCGGGGACCUAAGAUCCCACAUGCUGUGGUACAACUAAGCCCAUGCACUUUAAUGAAGACUCCAGGCAGCUGAUAAUAAUAAUAAUAUAAAUAUUUGGGGGCUUCCCUGAUAGCUGAGUUGGUAAAGAAUCCGCCUGCGAUGCAGGAGACCCCGGUUCGAUUCCUGGGUCGGGAAGAUCCUCUGGAGAANNNNNNNNNNNNNNNNNNNNGUAUUCUGGCCUGGAGAAUUCCAUGGACUGUAUGGUCCAUGGGGUCGCAAGAGUUGGACUCCACUGAGCGACUUUCACUUUUUCCCUUUUCCUGAACAGAGGCUCAUCUCACCACCAGGGGGCAGCGUUACCCACUGGCAGCUCCCAGCGCGGCCGGAAGCGGGCCUCAGAAUUCUUGGGAGGCCUGGGGUCCCCAGGGAGGCCCGCCUCCAUCCUGCCGCCCUACUCGGCAAGCCCGUCAGUCCUCCGGGGCAGAAGUUCAGGGGCUGCAGGGUGGUGGGAGGGGGCGUCCCCACAUCCUAGAAGAAAGGAGCAGAGCUGGGAGUGGGGGUGGGGGUGGGGGUGGUUGUGGAAAGUGAGGCUGGAGGGCGCAGUGGUUAGAGCCGGUUUGGGAGCCAGACCGAAGCUGGGUUCAGAGCUGAUCCCACACUGCAGGGAGUCCACUCUGAGCUUUGGUUUUCUCCUCUGCCAAAAUGCUGGCCUAGUGCCCCUCCUCCUUGCCCGUGGCAGGAGGUGGAGAGAGUGUCUCCAGGAGUCGGCUUGCAUUCUGUGUGGUGUAACGCCCUAGUCUGGGCGUGUUUGUGUGUUUGCCCCAGACACAAACUCACAAAAGUGUCCAGGGAGCCAGAUCCUUGGCCAGCCUGGACAGCAGUUGAUGGCCAGGAAGCAGCAGCCAAGGCGCUGAGCUGGUCAGACAGUUCAUUAGCGACUGAACCCACACGGUCUUAGAGCAAGAGUCCAGGGACACGUCGGUGGUUUUCAAACCUCACAAAUAUGGAAGGAGCCGGAACAUUUCUUCUAGCGGUUGGUCCUUCAAAGCCCAUCAUUCUUGACUGACAGUGCUUUGGAGCAACUAAAGCUUCAGCAAGAGAAGGCCAGCCUUCCUGGUGGGCCCUCCCAAUCAGCACCUGCGCCAAGGGUAGGAACAUCCAGCCAGGGAAU